rnacentral:rRNA from 1 species
UACCAGCACCCCGAGUGGUCGGGACGUUUAUUGGGCCUAAAGCAUCCGUAGCCGGUUCUACAAGUCUUCCGUUAAAUCCAGCUGCUUAACAGAUGGGCUGCGGAGGAUACUAUAAGACUAGGAGGCAGGAGAGGCAAGCGGUACUCAGUGGGUAGGGGUAAAAUCCGUUGAUCCAUUGAAGACCACCAGUGGCGAAGGCGGCUUGCCAGAACGCACUCGACGGUGAGGGAUGAAAGCUGGGGGAGCAAACCGG